rnacentral:misc_RNA from 1 species
GAUGAAGAACGUAGUGAAAUGCGAUAAGUAAUGUGAAUUGCAGAAUUCAGUGAAUCAUCGAAUCUUUGAACGCACCUUGCGCCCUUUGGCUAUUCCGAAGGGCAUGCCUGUUUGAGUAUCAUGAACACCUCAACUCUCAUGGUUUGCCAUGAUGAGCUUGGACUUUGGGGGUCUUGCCGGCCUAUGGGUCGGCUCCUCUCAAAUUAAUCAGCUUGCCAGUGUUUGGUGGCAUCACAGGUGUGAUAACUAUCUACGCUUGUGGUUUUCCAUCAGGUAACCUUCAGUGAUGGAGGUUCGCUGGGGCUCAUAAAUGUCUCUCCUCAGUGAGGACAGCUUUUUUGAACGUUUGAUCUCAAAUCAGGUAGGACUACCCGCUGAACUUAAGCAUAUCAUAAGCGGAGGA